UGAAACCCAGAUCAUUUGUCUUAACCAAUCAUUUUGAACCCAUAAGAUAGUCAAUCACCUUCACCAGGCCAGUUCCUGCCAUUGAUUAUGCCAAUCAUUCUUAAGAAUUAUUUUAUAACUGUGCCGCGAUACGAAAUGAUUUGCUGCGACUUGCUUUGCUGUUUUAUUAUUUUCCCGUGGUGUGAUAUGAUUUGCUACAGGAUAUAUGUUAUUCUGU